CAGAAGUUAAUUGUUUCACAAAUCACUAAACUUUUACAAUUUUCAUGAACUGUUUAUUGAACUUUAAUUUGUUUCAUGAUACUCACUGAACUUUUCCGUUCGCCUUUCAUCCAUCACUGUCAAAGAAUCGUUAACACUUUCAAUGACAUGGUCAAUAACAACCAUUAAAAUAAUCCAACGUCGCACAAAAACGUGUCCCAUGCAUCUUUUAAAAAUGUUGAAUAUGAAAAAAAAAAGAAAGAAAAAAAAAUUCAAAACCACCUCCAUGUGUUGUUGACCACCAAUGUAUUUUCCGACCGCUCAUACCUUCAAAAUUCUCAUAUCCAUAAUUUCCCCCAAAUCCUCCCAGGAGAUUUCAUCCCUAUUCAGUCACUUACGUAAUUAAUUCAAAAUCGAGAAAGUUCACUCACAACACAGAGCUACGGCAACAAUCAAUAUCUACUUUCAGUGGUAAUUUUUUUUUUCUGUUGCGAAUAUAUUUCCCCAUGUUGGCGUGAACAUGUCUAAAGCUUUUGGAUCAAAUGGGCCAUAAAGGAAUUUUUUUUUUUUUUUUUUUUUUUUUUGGGCAUUUAGCAUGUGUGAAGACAUCUUUGACGAUAGUGAAUCAUGGCCGAUGGUUUGUUGGUUGCCCAUCCUAUGGAAUGCUAGAGGCCUAUAAUUUCUUCGUUUGGGUUAACAACGAACUGAGCGAUAGGUACAAGGUAGUAAGAAAUGGGUUUAUAAGAUCGAAAAAUAUAGUUGAAGAAGAACAUCACAAAAUUUGCAAAACGAUGAGAGUGUACAAGAUUGCAUUUUGUGUUUUUUCUUACCAUAAUUGUAGGAAUGCUAAUACGUUGAAUGCACUUGUUGUGAGACAUAUUAAUGUUCAUGGUUUGAAUGUAGUUGUUGUAGGUCCAAUAUUAAUAUUAAUAGUCUGAAUGUGCUUGUAUUGCAUUGUUCUUGAG
rnacentral:lncRNA from 1 species